GACGUAGGGUCCAAGCGUUGUCCGGAUUUACUGGGCGUAAAGAGCUCGUAGGCGGCUUGUCGCGUCGGAUGUGAAAGCCCGGGGCUUAACUCCGGGUCUGCAUUCGAUACGGGCAGGCUAGAGUUCGGUAGGGGAGAUCGGAAUUCCUGGUGUAGCGGUGAAAUGCGCAGAUAUCAGGAGGAACACCGGUGGCGAAGGCGGAUCUCUGGGCCGAUACUGACGCUGAGGAGCGAAAGCGUGGGGAGCGAACAGG
rnacentral:rRNA from 1 species